CUUCUAACCUCUAAUAUCUAAAUCGUUAGUGGCGACGGUGAGUAACACGUUGGAACCUGCCCCAAAGUAAGGGAUAAGCCACCGAAAGGUGGUCUAAUACCUUAUAGUAUCCAUCUCGUAUGGAUUAAAGCUUUAUGCGCUUUGGGAGGGGCCUGCGUUUGAUUAGCUAGUUGGUGAGGUAAAAGCUCACCAAGGCGACGAUCAAUAGCUGGUUUGAGAGGAUGACCAGCCACACUGGGACUGAGAUACGGCCCAGACUCCUACGGGAGGCGGCAGUAAGGAAUCUUCCACAAUGGGGGCAACCCUGAUGGAGCAAUACCGCGUGCAGGAUGAAGCGUUUCGGCGUGUAAACUGCUUUUAUCACCGAAGAUUAUGACUGUAGGUGAAGAAUAAGGACCGGCUAACUACGUG
rnacentral:rRNA from 1 species